rnacentral:rRNA from 1 species
CGGAGCAUGCGGCUUAAUUCGACGCAACGCGAAGAACCUUACCAAGGCUUGACAUAUACAGGAAUAUGGCAGAGAUGUCAUAGCCGCAAGGUCUGUAUACAGGUGGUGCAUGGUUGCCGUCAGCUCGUGUCGUGAGAUGUUGGGUUAAGUCCCGCAACGAGCGCAACCCUCGUUCUGUGUUGCCAGCAUUUAGUUGGGGACUCACAGGAGACUGCCGGGGUUAACUCGGAGGAAGGUGGGGAUGACGUCAAAUCAUCAUGCCCCUUAUGUCUUGGGCUGCACGCAUGCUACAAUGGCUGGUACAAACGGCUGCAAUACCGCAAGGUGGAGCGAAUCCGAGAAAGCCAGUCUCAGUUCGGAUUGGGGUCUGCAACUCGACCCCAUGAAGUCGGAGUUGCUAGUAAUCGUAGAUCAGCAACGCUACGGUGAAUACGUUCCCGGGGCUUGUACACACCGCCCGUCACAUCACGA